UACCAGCGGCCCUAGUGGUGAUCGUUAUUAUUGGGCCUAAAGCGUCCGUAGCCGGUUCGGUAAAUCUCUGGGUAAAUCGUUGGGCUUAACUCAACGAAUUCUGGGGAGACUGCCGAACUUGGGACCGGGAGAGGUCGGAGGUACUCCAGGGGUAGGGGUGAAAUCCUGUAAUCCUUGGGGGACCACCGGUGGCGAAGGCGUCCGACCAGAACGGGUCCGACGGUAAGGGACGAAGCCCUGGGGCGCGAACCGGAUUAGAUACCCGGGUAGUCCAGGGUGUAAACGCUGUGCGCUUGGUGUUGGGGGUCCCACGAGGGCACCCAGUGCCGGAGAGAAGUUGUUUAGCGCACCGCCUGGGGAGUACGGUCGCAAGACUGGAACUUAAAGGAAUUGGCGGGGGAGCACAGCAACGGGAGGAGCGUGCGGUUU
rnacentral:rRNA from 1 species